rnacentral:rRNA from 1 species
ACUGCAUUCGAAACUGGCAGGCUUGAGUCUUGUAGAGGGGGGUAGAAUUCCAGGUGUAGCGGUGAAAUGCGUAGAGAUCUGGAGGAAUACCGGUGGCGAAGGCGGCCCCCUGGACAAAGACUGACGCUCAGGUGCGAAAGCGUGGGGAGCAAACAGGAUUAGAUACCCUGGUAGUCCACGCCGUAAACGAUGUCUACUUGGAGGUUGUGCCCUUGAGGCGUGGCUUCCGGAGCUAACGCGUUAAGUAGACCGCCUGGGGAGUACGGCCGCAAGGUUAAAACUCAAAUGAAUUGACGGGGGCCCGCACAAGCGGUGGAGCAUGUGGUUUAAUUCGAUGCAACGCGAAGAACCUUACCUGGUCUUGACAUCCACAGAACUUUCCAGAGAUGGAUUGGUGCCUUCGGGAACUGUGAGACAGGUGCUGCAUGGCUGUCGUCAGCUCGUGUUGUGAAAUGUUGGGUUAAGUCCCGCAACGAGCGCAAC